rnacentral:tRNA from 2 species
GACUUGAUAGCUCAGUUGGUAGAGCAUCUCCCUUUUAAGGAGAGGGUCCUGGGUUCGAGCCCCAGUCAAGUCACUA